UACGUAGGGUGCGAGCGUUAAUCGGAAUUACUGGCGUAAAGCGUGCGCAGGCGGUGAUGUAAGACAGGUGUGAAAUCCCCGGGCUUAACCUGGGAACUGCAUUUGUGACUGCAUCGCUGGAGUGCGGCAGAGGGGAUGGAAUUCCGCGUGUAGCAGUGAAAUGCGUAGAUAUUGGGAAGAACACCGGUGGCGAAGGCGGCUCACUGGCCCGUAACUGACGCUCAUGCACGACAGCGUGGGGAUCAAACAGG
rnacentral:rRNA from 1 species